rnacentral:rRNA from 1 species
GACGAACGCUGGCGGCGUGCUUAACACAUGCAAGUCGAACGGAAAGGCCCUGCUUUUGUGGGGUGCUCGAGUGGCGAACGGGUGAGUAACACGUGAGUAACCUGCCCUUGACUUUGGGAUAACUUCAGGAAACUGGGGCUAAUACCGGAUAGGAGCUCCUGCUGCAUGGUGGGGGUUGGAAAGUUUCGGCGGUUGGGGAUGGACUCGCGGCUUAUCAGCUUGUUGGUGGGGUAGUGGCUUACCAAGGCUUUGACGGGUAGCCGGCCUGAGAGGGUGACCGGCCACAUUGGGAUUGAGAUACGGCCCAGACUCCUACGGGAGGCAGCAGUGGGGAAUGUUGCACAAUGGGCGGAAGCCUGAUGCAGCAACGCCGCGUGCGGGAUGACGGCCUUCGGGUUGUAAACCGCUUUCGCCUGUGACGAAGCGUGAGUGACGGUAAUGGGUAAAGAAGCACCGGCUAACUACGUG